UACGUAGGGUGCGAGCGUUGUCCGGAAUUACUGGGCGUAAAGAGCUCGUAGGUGGUUUGUCGCGUCGUCUGUGAAAUUCCGGGGCUUAACUUCGGGCGUGCAGGCGAUACGGGCAAUACUUGAGUGCUGUAGGGGAGACUGGAAUUCCUGGUGUAGCGGUGAAAUGCGCAGAUAUCAGGAGGAACACCAAUGGCGAAGGCAGGUCUCUGGGUAGUUACUGACGCUGAGGAGCGAAAGCAUGGGUAGCGAACAGGAUUAGAUA
rnacentral:rRNA from 1 species